UGGGGAAUAUUGCACAAUGGGCGAAAGCCUGAUGCAGCGACGCCGCGUGAGGGAUGACGGCCUUCGGGUUGUAAACCUCUUUCAGCAGGGACGAAGCGCAAGUGACGGUACCUGCAGAAGAAGCACCGGCUAACUACGUGCCAGCAGCCGCGGUAAUACGUAGGGUGCAAGCGUUGUCCGGAAUUACUGGGCGUAAAGAGUUCGUAGGCGGUUUGUCGCGUCGUUUGUGAAAACCAGCAGCUCAACUGCUGGCUUGCAGGCGAUACGGGCAGACUUGAGUACUGCAGGGGAGACUGGAAUUCCUGGUGUAGCGGUGAAAUGCGCAGAUAUCAGGAGGAACACCGGUGGCGAAGGCGGGUCUCUGGGCAGUAACUGACGCUGAGGAACGAAAGCGUUGGUAGCGAACAGG
rnacentral:rRNA from 1 species